UUUUCGUGGAACAAACACACU
rnacentral:piRNA from 1 species